rnacentral:rRNA from 1 species
CAAGGAAUUUUGCGCAAUGGGCGGAAGCCUGACGCAGCAACGCCGCGUGAGGGAUGAAGGCCUUCGGGUUGUAAACCUCUUUUCUUAGGGACGAAUAAUGACGGUACCUGGGGAAUAAGCUUCGGCUAACUACGUGCCAGCAGCCGCGGUAAUACGUAGGAAGCAAGCGUUAUCCGGAUUUACUGGGCGUAAAGUGGACGUAGGCGGUCUUUCAAGUCGGAUGUGAAAUCUCCUGGCUUAACUGGGAGGGGUCAUCCGAUACUGUGGGACUAGAGGACAGCAGGGGAAGGUGGAAUUCCCGGUGUAGUGGUGAAAUGCGUAGAUAUCGGGAGGAACACCAGUGGCGAAGGCGGCCUUCCAGGCUGUUUCUGACGCUGAGGUCCGAAAGUGUGGGGAGCGAACAGGAUUAGAUACCCUGGUAGUCCACACCGUAAACUAUGGAUACUAGGUAUAGGGAGUUUCGACCCUCUCUGUGCCGAAGCUAACGCUUUAAGUAUCCCGCCUGGGGACUACGGCCGCAAGGUUA